rnacentral:lncRNA from 1 species
AUGGAGAUAAAGAAGAUUUGUCCUGGUUUACAGUCAGCACAUCAAAGAGGCUCUACAAGAAGCACAGACUUGGAGCACAUCUCCCUUACCUUCCCUCACUCUGCCUAGGAGGCUGAGGACAGCAGGAAAACUCCAGACCCCUGCCCAUGGAGGAUGAUCACCAUGCUUUUCACUGAACAAAACAAAUAAAAAUAUUCCAAAU